AGGCGGAGCGGAACUGAUGGACACCGAGUGAGGCCAGGUCAAGAACUCUUGAGUGUUGAAUUGGCACCCAGGGCACCCAUACCAUGCUGUCUUCACUUUCCUUGCCAGGCUGCGCUCACCUCCCAUCCAUCCACCCAUGUUUCUGUGUCCUGCUCUGUUGCGGCACAGAAAGACAAGGGAACUCCACAAAACCUCCCUGCUCCGAACCAAAGAAAACACAAAGCCCCUGAGUUCCAGUAAGGAACUCCACCUGGAAGGAGGUGCAACAGAACUGGGGCUCCUCCUAGGCCUGGGCAGAUCAUGGGGGUCAGGGGAUCCAGGGGUGAGAUGUCUACCACAGGAAGUUUUGAGGGUUCCCAGAGCAGUAUUCCACCUUGGAAGUAGCAACCUUGCGUCUCUCCACUCCAAUGACAAUGCUGACGUGGAUCUUUAUUUGUAAAGGUUCUCUGUAGUGCGUAUAGAGCAGUAAAUAUAAAGAUAUUUACUUCCACCGAGUAAACAUCGCUCAAACAUUAUGUAGCCCUGUGUUCCCAAAUCCAAACACAUUAAAUAUUAAAACUCAUUUUUCCUGGUUACAUAGUAGCUAUAAAUAUGAAGAAUGUGACACAAAAUAUUUUUUUCUUGCUAGAUGUGUUUCAUUUUGCCAAGGCCACUCAGGCCCCUGACUCCAAGAGUGUGAUACUAUGGAGUUCAUGAUGCUAUCUCUGAAACUUACUCCCUCAUCUAGCAGAUGUCACC